CACGUAGGCACCAAGCGUUGUCCGGAUUUAUUGGGCGUAAAGGGUGCGUAGGCGGCGCGGUAAGUCGGGUGUGAAAUCUCGGGGCUUAACUCCGAAACUGCAUUCGAUACUGCCGUGCUUGAGGACUGGAGAGGAGACUGGAAUUUACGGUGUAGCGGUGAAAUGCGUAGAUAUCGUAAGGAAGACCAGUGGCGAAGGCGGGUCUCUGGACAGUUCCUGACGCUGAGGAGCGAAAGCGUGGGGAGCGAACAGG
rnacentral:rRNA from 1 species